AAAGGCGCGCGAUACAGGGUGACAGCCCCGUACACAAAAGCGCAUGUGCUGUGAGCUCGAUGAGUAGGGCGGGACACGUGGUAUCCUGUCUGAAUAUGGGGGGACCAUCCUCCAAGGCUAAAUACUCCUGACUGACCGAUAGUGAACCAGUACCGUGAGGGAAAGGCGAAAAGAACCCCGGCGAGGGGAGUGAAAAAGAACCUGAAACCGUGUACGUACAAGCAGUGGGAGCCCCACCACUAAGCCAGUGGUGAACUCCACAUACGCAUCCUUUGCUGAGGAUACGGUUAACGGAGCGAAAGCGACGUUCAACCGCAAAAGAAGCAGAGGGGGCUUAGUGGUGGGGUGACUGCGUACCUUUUGUAUAAUGGGUCAGCGACUUAUAUUCUGUAGCAAGGUUAACCGUAUAGGGGAGCCGGAGGGAAACCGAGUCUUAAU
rnacentral:rRNA from 1 species